rnacentral:rRNA from 1 species
AGAACGAACGCUGGCGGCAGGCCUAACACAUGCAAGUCGAGCGCUGUAGCAAUACAGAGCGGCGCACGGGUGAGUAACACGUGGGAACGUGCCUUUCGGUUCGGAAUAACUCAGGGAAACUUGAGCUAAUACCGGAUACGCCCCUUGGGGGAAAGAUUCAUCGCCGAAAGAGCGGCCCGCGUCCGAUUAGCUUGUUGGUGAGGUAAAAGCUCACCAAGGCAACGAUCGGUAGCUGGUUUGAGAGAACGACCAGCCACACUGGGACUGAGACACGGCCCAGACUCCUACGGGAGGCAGCAGUGGGGAAUCUUGGACAAUGGGGGAAACCCUGAUCCAGCCAUGCCGCGUGAGUGAUGAGGCCUUAGGGUUGUAAACUCUUUCGCGCACGACGAUAAUGACGGUAGUGCGAGAAGAGCUCCGGCUAACUCGCGCCAGCAGCCGC